GCUGAAAUCGGCCUCACACAAUAAUACACCACACAACAAACAAACCAUUUGACCAACCAAGUAGAUGUGAUCGAACAGUAAACACCACACCACUAGUACCGCAAGGGGAACACCUUCAAGCAAAAAACAGCAAAGACCAACCCUUGUACCUUUUGUAUCAUGGUUUAGCAAGUACUAAAGACAAGAAGAAUCAUAGCCUGCACCCCGGAAACCAGAUGAGCUACUCUAAAGCAGCUAAAUGGGGCACACCCUUCUCUGUGGCAAAAGAGUGGGAAGACUUUAAAGUAGAAGUGAAACGCUUACCGAAUCUGGAGAUAGCUGGCUACCCAAAAUAGGAAUAUUAGUUCCACUUUAGACCAGAAUAAUAAACACUUAUUUUCCUAAAGAAAGUCAAUAGGGGUACAGCUCUAUUGAGACAGGAAACAACCUGAAUUUGAGAGUACAAACAAUAAACUUACCAGUAGGACUUAAAGCAACCACCUAAUAAAAUAUCGUUAAAGAAUUUACACAAAAAUCAUUCAAACUCAAUAAAACCUCCAAAUUAACUAAGGGUAAACCCAUAACUAUGGGUAAUAUAAUGCUAAAACUAAUAAUAAGACAACCUCUCUUAACGCACCUUUCCUCUAGAAACGGAUAAACCACUAGCAAUUAACAGACCAUAACAGGAAUACACCAACCCAUACCCAUCAAUACACUAACUGUGAACCCGACACAGGAGCGUAAAAAAGAAAGAUUAAUCAUUAUAAAAGGAACUCGGCAACCGCAAACCCCAACUGUUUAACAAAAACAUAACCUUUAGCCAAACAAAUAUUAAAGGCAACGCCUGCCCAGUGAACAAUUAAACGGCCGCGGUACCCUAACCGUGCAAAGGUAGCAAAAUCAUUUGUCUAUUAACUGUAGACCUGUAUGAAAGGCAAAAUGAGGGUUUAACUGUCUCUUAUAGUUAAUCAAUUAAACUGAUCUCCCAGUAAAAAAGCUGGGAUACCACCACAAGACCAGAAGACCCUGUGAAGCUUUAAUUAAACUAUUAAACCUUAUAAUAACUACUUUAGGUUGGGGCGACCUUGGAAACAAAAAGAACUUCCAAACAUAAUGACCAAACCCACUAGGCCCACAAGCCAACAAAUGACCCAGUAAUACUGAUAAAUGAACCAAGUUACUCCAGGGAUAACAGCGCUAUCUUCUUCAAGAGCCCAUAUCAAAAAGAAGGUUUACGACCUCGAUGUUGGAUCAGGACAUCCCAAUGGUGCAGCCGCUAUUAAAGGUUCGUUUGUUCAACGAUUAAUGUCCUACGUGAUCUGAGUUCAGACCGGAGCAAUCCAGGUCGGUUUCUAUCUAUGAUGCACUACACCCAGUACGAAAGGACCGGUAUAGUAAAGCCCAUACUACAAGUAUGCUCUUACCUAAAACUAACCCAAUCAACUUUCCAUGCCACCCCAACCAAGAGAAGGUUAAAUUAAGGACAACCUUA
rnacentral:rRNA from 1 species